GCUCCUUUGGCCUAGUGGUUAUGGCGUGGCUCUUAUGUGGUAAUUCUGGACAACAGAUUCCGCAUGACUUGGCUAGCUGAAGUCGAGGGUUCGACUCCCUCAAGGAGCA